CGUGAUCCUCCACCUGACAGGAAUUAAAACCAAAUUCUCAAAACAAAACACAUAAAAACAUAUAUGACUGCAUAAAAGAUGGCAAGUGAUGGUUCUCUUCAGUAAUUGAAAACUAAGCAACAGAUUUGCCAUUUUAUUUAGAACACAUAGGGUCUACAACUGAACAAGUUUUCACCUGUACUUCUAAAUGGUAAUAUUCACACACCCACACAGAGAGAGAGAGAGACAGAGAGGCAAAUUAGUUAAGCAAGCAAACUCCUUUCUUCAUCACGGGAAAUUUAAGGCUAUUCAAACCAUGGGUUUAAAGGCAUAUGCCAAGGGAAGAACACAAAUGACCGUCACUCACAUAAUCAUCCGCAAACUAGAUCUGCCUUUGAAGCUAGAAAGUUUUAACCAAAAAAACUCAAUUUGCAUCCUGAUUGAGGUCUUUUAUCCUCUAAUAGACAACAAGAUGGUAGGCGUUGGGACCCCAAAAACAUUCAGACUGAAAGAACUAACCAGAAAAAGGUUACAGUAUAGCACAUGUGAAUAACAACAGAAGGUUAAAUCACCAGAUGGAUAAACUUUAAAAAAGAACCAUCCACGUUACUCGCUGAAGGAAAACAAGAGAAUAGAACAUCAUGAAAUAGAAGAGAACAAUG
rnacentral:misc_RNA from 1 species